CCUUCCGUAGUGUAGUUGGUUCAUCACGUUCGACUGUAACUGGUCUUCACUUCCAAUCGAAAGGUCACCGGCUCGACUCCGGUCGGAAGGA
rnacentral:tRNA from 3 species